CUAGUACGGCGAGUGAAGAGGGAAGAGCCCAAGAUUGAAAGCUGGCGUCUUCGGCGUCCGCAUUGUAAUCUCAAGAAGUGUUUUCCGCUUCGGACCAUGCCUAAGUCCCUUGGAAAAGGGCAUCAUAGAGGGUGAUAAUCCCGUUCAUGGCAUGGAGCGCCCGAAGCUUUGUGAUACGCUUUCUAAGAGUCGAGUUGUUUGGGAAUGCAGCUCAAAAUGGGUGGUAAAUGCCAUCUAAGGCUAAAUAUUGGGGAGAGACCGAUAGCGAACAAGUACAGUGAUGGAAAGAUGAAAAGAACUUUGAAAAGAGAGUUAAACAGUACGUGAAAUUGCCAAAAGGGAAGGGUAGGAGGUCAGAGAUGCGUCUUGGAAUUCAGCCUUGCUUCUGCUUGGUGUUUUUUCCAAGUUGCAGGCCAACGUCGGUUUUGGGCACUGGAGAAGGGUGGAAGGAAUGUGGCACCUCUCGGGGUGUGUUAUAGCCUUCUACUGGAUACAGCGACCGAGACCGAGGACAGCAGCGUACUCGUAAGAGCGGGCCUUCGGGCACCUUUACGCUUAGGGCGUUGGCAUAAUGGCCCUCUACCACCCGUCU
rnacentral:rRNA from 1 species